CAGUCGCCGCGGUAAUACGAAGGGUGCAAGCGUUAAUCGGAAUUACUGGGCGUAAAGCGUGCGUAGGUGGUGGUUUAAGUCCGUUGUGAAAGCCCUGGGCUCAACCUGGGAAUUGCAGUGGAUACUGGGUCACUAGAGUGUGGUAGAGGAUAGUGGAAUUUCCGGUGUAGCAGUGAAAUGCGUAGAGAUCGGAAGGAACAUCUGUGGCGAAGGCGACUAUCUGGGCCAACACUGACACUGAGGCACGAAAGCGUGGGGAGCAAACAGGAUUAGAUACCCCAGUAGUCCCUGUCUCUUAUAC
rnacentral:rRNA from 1 species